UUUUUUUUUUUUUUGGGGACAAGGUGGUAAUAUUGAUUAACAUAAAGUAAAAGAUGUUGAACGACAGAAUGUGAAUAUAGUUCAAAUCAUUCGAGCAAAGCUAACAAUGGUUUCACACUUUCACUUGGAAAUCAGCAUAUAUAAAUGGUUCCUAUCUAGUUAUAAGGCUCAUUUGGCACAUGUUUUAUAUGAGGUAUAUCUAUUAUGGAUGCAAGUUAAACUGCAUAUGUGCACGACAAACUUGGGUUUUUAUGUCUAUGUAGGUUUGCUUGGUGCUUUUUCAUUUGUUGAUUCAAAGAUAUGAUUUGGCUUCCGCACAUGCAUGCCAAAUAUAGGGCCUAACAAUUUAAUAUCGGAUGUAAUUAUGAAGUUUCUUUGUCUACAUUUACUUUUACAUUAUAGAGAUCAUUGAAUGGCAUUUCUAACUCAAUUUGAUUUCAACUCUACUGUAUACUGUCUUUCCUUUAAUUUUUCUCUUUAUUGUGAAUUCAGAUAUCUUGUGUCAGCUGAUUCUACUGUGGGGCAGUUUAUCCAUGUUAUCCGUGAAAGGAUUAAGCUUGGUGCUGAAAAGGCUAUAUUUGUGCAUAUAAAGAACAUUUUACCUCCAAUUGGAGAGUGACAUUAGUUAACUAAUUUUUAUAUAUGAAAUUCUUUUAGUAAUAUUCUCAUUCUUAUGUUGGAUAAAUUCUUCUUUUGUUGCAGAUGCGUUGAUGUCUACAAUUUAUGAGGAGAACAAGGAAGAAGAUGGUUUUCUUUACAUGACUUACAGUCAGGAGAAUAUCUUUGGAUCCCAUCAAGAGCAGCAGAAUAUUUGUAUGUAAAUAAUGCAGGAAGAUGUAUGUUCUCAGCUGUCUGUUAAUACUAAUGCUUUAACCAGCUUAUAUGUUCUGCUCAUCUUAUUUUGGAUUUACGCUAUUAAGGCACUAGAAGAAUUUUGACAUUGAACUGAAUGGAUUCAUAUAAAUUCUGGUGAUCUGAUUUCCAAUACUUUAUUUUCUUUUAUUUGCAAA
rnacentral:misc_RNA from 1 species